rnacentral:lncRNA from 1 species
CAUCAGCCUGACUUCUUCACUAAUACCACAUUUCAAGGUCGACCAUGCAUCCGACAACUUCAUGGGCUCCAGUGGAGCUGCAUUUCUUGUUCCAAGAUUGAUUGCACCUUGUCAACUGCUCCUUUUGCCACAAUAUGAGAUCCAUAUAAACACCAAUUCCCAGAGUAAGCUGCUAUGAGGAAUUACAUGAACCUUUUGGAGUUA